rnacentral:rRNA from 1 species
UAGGGAAUCUUCGGCAAUGGGGGCAACCCUGACCGAGCAACGCCGCGUGAGUGAAGAAGGUUUUCGGAUCGUAAAGCUCUGUUGUAAGAGAAGAACGUGUGUGAGAGUGGAAAGUUCACACAGUGACGGUAACUUACCAGAAAGGGACGGCUAACUACGUGCCAGCAGCCGCGGUAAUACGUAGGUCCCGAGCGUUGUCCGGAUUUAUUGGGCGUAAAGCGAGCGCAGGCGGUUUAAUAAGUCUGAAGUUAAAGGCAGUGGCUUAACCAUUGUUCGCUUUGGAAACUGUUAAACUUGAGUGCAGAAGGGGAGAGUGGAAUUCCAUGUGUAGCGGUGAAAUGCGUAGAUAUAUGGAGGAACACCGGUUGCGAAAGCGGCUCUCUGGUCUGUAACUGACGCUGAGGCUCGAAAGCGUGGGGAGCAAACAGG